rnacentral:sRNA from 1 species
AAGAAAAAAUGUUCAACUUAUUUAUCUACAUUUUUGCAGAGGAAUGAGUUGAAUAAGAUUCAGCUCAACUUUUUUCAAUCUAAUAUUUUUCAAUCAUUCAAUUUAAAACAACCAUUUGCAGUCUAAAUGUGAAUAGAAAACUACCAGUGUUCAACCAUUUUUUUCGAAAGCUAAAAGCCUAAAACAUUUACAAUGUUUUUUUUUAUGUGGUAAAUGUAUUUUUUUGUGGUAAAUGUAUCUCCUCUUCCUAUUGAAACUCAACAUCUUCAUCACAUGAAAUUUCUAAAAAAGAUUUUACUUCUUUUUCUCUCGAAAUCUUUUCUUUUUUUCCAUAGUAAACCUGCACAAACAAGGAUUGCCUCCCUCUUUUAUGUUCCCUAUGAAAUCAACCAAAUCCUCUUUGCGCCCAUUUUCUUCCCCAACUAUUUUGGAUCAUCCAGUAAUACUUCUCAACAAACAUGUCUGCAUCAUAGCCAACAAUAAACACAUCAUGGAAUUGAUUGCUCCUUGUAUUGCUCUUGUUGGUCGAUAUUUUCCUGUUUGUUAAGGAAAACUUUUACAUUAUCUUAAGAGAACAUGUAUUAAAUUUUGUACUCACUUAUUCAUGUGGUCUAAAAUCACUCAAUUGUGGUAUAACUCCAACCACAUGAUGCCUCCACACUAGCCUCACAAGGUCAUCAUCAUCAACCUCGUCGAUGAUGACCAAGUAAUUGAUUGUCUACUGUGGGCUACAAAAAAAUGACAUUGAAAUAAACCAUUUAUUAUAAUUAUAUAUCUAAUAACUACAUACAUAAGUCUAAAUUCUUAAGUUGUCGUGGUCACAAGGUCUUCGGGUACCAGUGUAUAAGCACUCUCCUUCUUUUAGUAUUCCAUUUUGAACCACAAAAUCUGCUAGAGUUGAAGUAUCUUCUAACCCAUACUUCCUAAUUUUCACAUUGUUGGCCAAAUGUUGAAUGGAGAAUGAGCGUUGUUCAUCAAGUCUUCUGCCGAUAUUGAAUAAUGCUUCAAUGGCUCGAAUAAAUUAAAUGGCCCAACAAUUCGCUAAAAAAAAUAUAAUAAUCAUAAACCAUUAUUGUGAUCCCGGCCAUGAUAUUAACAAAAGUAUUAAAAAUGGCCCAAUAAUAUUAAACUAUACGAAUGAUACUUAAUGUAAUUUGCACUUACGAUCGUCUUUUUGAUUUAGUACAUUACUAACAAUCCCCGCAUAGCCACUCCAAUCCCAUCUCGGAGGCGGAUCCUGAAAUUAACUUAUGUUAGAUAAAAAUACAACAUAUAGAUUAUAACAAAAUUCAAAAAUCAUUACAUUGUGGUUGAAGAUAUUAUAAGAUUCUUACAUAUCUAUCUAUUGUACAGAUUAUGCAUUUUGCUUCUUGAGUUGAAUCUAUGGUAAGACAUGACUUGUGAGUUAUGUCGCUCAAACAACGACUUCAACUCCGUGGGCUUUUCCAGUGCCAAGACAUUUGAUCUCGAACAUUUUACUUUCAAGUAACUUAAUGUCAUGUUAUGCCAUUGUUAUCUAUUAAUGUAACUAGACUUAUAAGUAGUUGACUUUAUAAAAUUAGACGGUUCUAAUUAAAGUUUGGUUAUUGAAAUCCUGAAACGAC